rnacentral:tRNA from 1 species
UUGGAUGUAGCUCAGUGGUAGAGCGUUCUCUUCGCAUGCGGAAGUCCCUAGGUUCGAUCCCCCGCAUCUACA